rnacentral:rRNA from 1 species
CCUACGGGGGGCAGCAGUGGGGAAUAUUGGACAAUGGGCGAAAGCCUGAUCCAGCCAUGCCGCGUGUGUGAAGAAGGCCUUCGGGUUUUAAAGCACUUUCAGUGGGGAAGAAAGCCUUGGGGCUAAUACCCUCGAGGAAGGACAUCACCCACAGAAGAAGCACCGGCUAACUCCGUGCCAGCAGCCGCGGUAAUACGGAGGGUGCGAGCGUUAAUCGGAAUUACUGGGCGUAAAGCGCGCGUAGGCGGUCUGAUAAGCCGGUUGUGAAAGCCCCGGGCUCAACCUGGGAACGGCAUCCGGAACUGUCAGGCUAGAGUGCAGGAGAGGAAGGUAGAAUUCCCGGUGUAGCGGUGAAAUGCGUAGAGAUCGGGAGGAAUACCAGUGGCGAAGGCGGCCUUCUGGACUGACACUGACGCUGAGGUGCGAAAGCGUGGGUAGCAAACAGGAUUAGAUACCCGAGUAGUC